AUUGAACGCUGGCGGCGCGCCUAAUACAUGCAAGUCGAACGGAGUGGCGCACGGGUGAGUAAUGUAUAGCUAAUCUGCCCUACACUAGAGGACAACAGUUGGAAACGACUGCUAAUACUCUAUAGUGUAGGGUGAGGCUAGAUUGUAUCAGCUAGUUGGUGAGGUAAUGGCUCACCACGGCUAUGACGCAUAACUGGUCUGAGAGGAUGAUCAGUCACACUGGAACUGAGACACGGUCCAGACUCCUACUGAAGGCAGCAGUAUGGAAUAUUGCUCAAUGGGGGAAACCCUGAAGCAGCAACGCCGCGUAGAGGAUGACACUUAUCGGAGCGUAAACUCCUUUUGUGAGGGAAGCGGUACCUAACGAAUAAGCACCGGCUAACUCCGUGCCAUCCGCCGCGGUAAUAC
rnacentral:rRNA from 1 species